UAUUUUGCUCUCUUCUUACACUUUUUGUUCGUUGAUUCACUCUUUCUGCAGUCAGGGAAGGAUCAAUGAAGCAAUUCAAUUGUUAGAGUUAAUGAACCAUGAGAAAAUUAAAUACCCAUUUGAUAAUUUUGAGUGCAGUUUUGUGAUUCAUGGGUUCUUGAGUGUUGGAAAGCCCGAGCCUGCUGUUGAGUUCUUUGAAAAUGCUGUGAAUUCAGGUUGUUUAAAGCCCAAUGUUGUUACUUACACAACACUUGUGAGUGCUUAUUAUAGGUUAGGUAGAAUUGAGGAGGUUUCUGAUUUGGGGAUAAAUGGAUUAGAAUUAGAUGUUGUGUUUUACAGUAAUUGGAUAUAUGGGUAUUUUAGGGAAGGAGCAAUUGAAGAGGCACUAAAAAAAUAUAAUGAGAUGGUGUGUACUAGGAGAAUAGAAUUGGAUACAAUAGGCUAUACAAUACUUAUUGAUGGAUUCUCAAAGGAGGGACAUGUGGAGAAAGCAGUUGGGCUCCUAUACAGGAUGAAAAAGCAUGGUCUUCAACCUAAUUUGGUUACUCUUACAGCACUAGUAUUAGGAUUCUGCAAGAAGGGGAAAGUGCUUGAGGCGUUUGCGGUGAUUAAGAUGGUUGAGGAUUUGCAGAUUGAAGCAGAUGAAUUUGUGUAUGCAGUAUUGAUUGAUGGUAUGUGCAGGAAGGGUGACGUUGGACGUGCAUUUGUACUGCUCGGUGGAAUGGAGAAGAAAGGCAUAAUACCUAGUGUUGUCACAUAUAAUACCAUUAUCAAUGGAUUGUGCAAAGCUGGGAGGAUGAAUGAGGCCGAUGAUGUGUCUAAGGGAAUCCUUGGAGAUGUUAUCACAUAUAGUACAUUGUUGCAUGGUUAUAUUCAAGAAGAAAAUGUCAUGGGAAUGCUAGAAACAAAAAAGAGAGUUGAAGCAGCUCAAGGGAAUCCUCGGAGAUGUUAUCACGUAUAGUACAUUGUUACAUGGUUAUAUUCAAGAAGAAAAUGUCAUGGGAAUGCUAGAAACGAAAAAGAGAGUUGAAGCAGCUGACGUUUUUCUGGAUGUUACUAUGUGCAACUUGCUUAUAAAAGCCCUAUUUAUGAUGGGGUUGUUUGAGGAGGCUCUUGCCAUAUAUAAGAAAAUAUCAGAUAUGGGCAUUCCUUCCAAUUCUGUUACUUACUGUGUCAUGAUUGACGGUUACUUGAAAUUAGGAAUGAUAGAGGAAGCACUUGAAAUAUUUGAUGAAUUUCGGAUGACUAUGGGCAUUACUUCCAAUUCUGUUACUUACAGUGCCAUGAUUGACGGUUACUUGAAAGUAGGAAUGAUAGAGGAAGCACUUGAAAUAUUUGAUGAAUUUCGUAAGACACCUAUACCUUCAGCUGCAUGUUACAAUUGCACCAUUCAAGGGCUCUGUAGGAAUGGCAUGCCGGACAUAGCAAUUGAAGUAUUCGUUGAACUAAUUGAUCGAGGCUUGCCUUUAAGUACAAGGAUCUAUAUGCCAUUGAUAAAAAAGAUAUUCGAAGUUAAGGGUGCUCAGGGAGUUUUAGAUUUGUUUCAGAGAUUGGAAAGAGUUAAGCAUGAAAAAUUUGGUUCAAUGUGUGAAGAUGCUGUUUCUUUCCUGUGCAACAAACGAUUACUAGAAGCUGCAGUCAAUCUGCUAAUUGUGAUCCAAACUAAUGGUUUUGUUCUAAGCAUGAAAUCCUACCAUCUUUUAAUGAAAUCUCUUCUCUAUGGUGGCCAAACCUUUUUGACCGGAUUUCUUUUGACAACAUUCCUAAAAAAAUAUGGGAUGUUUGAGCACGGGGCAAAGAAGAUGCUUGUUUACUUCCUUUGCAUUAAAAAUGUAGAAACUGCGCUUCGGUUUCUUGCUACAGUGAAAGGCGACACAUCUGAGGUGACCUUUCCUGCUGUAGUUUUGCGGACACUGACAAAAGGUGGCCGAUAUCUGGAUGCGUAUAACCUUGUUAUGGGAGCGAGAGAUAAGCUACCUCUCAUGGAUGUGGUUGACUACUCAAUUGUUAUUGACGGCCUUUGCAAAGGAGGACAUAUUGACAGGGCCUUAGAUCUCUGUAAUUUUGCCAGCAAUAUAGGAAUUUCUUUUAAUAUUGUAACCUAUAACUCAGUAAUCAGUGGGUUAUGUCAUCAAGGGUGUGUGCUUGAAGCUUUUCGGUUAUUUGAUUCAUUAGAAAGGAAUGAUAUAGUUCCUUCAGAAAUCACGUAUGGUAUACUCAUUGACGCUUUGUCAAAAGAAGG
rnacentral:lncRNA from 1 species